ensembl:lncRNA
CAGCUUUCAGGAAGAUGUAUUUGGCAAGUAUCCACAGAAGGAGACUUCUAAGGGAAAGUUAUUGCUCUCUUAGAUGCCUGCAAGAAAAGCUUGCAGAAGGCAGUGAGUGAAGGAAGGGAGCAGCACUUUGCACUUUAAGAGGGACUGCCAAGAUAUGCUCUUUUGCCAACUCUGCCAGUGGAGAUGUGGCCCAAUUUGAUGUCUGAGACCCAAGGCACCCUGAGAUGCACUACACUCCAUUUUCAUCUUACUCUCUCAAAAAGAUGAUGUGAUGUGAACGUCAUGAACAGCACAGCUUUACUAAAACUGAAAAAUGGAGAGAAAAUGGACUAAAUAGAUGAAAUACAGUUUAAAGUGAUAUACUUAUUUUUAUUUAUUAUGUAAAUUAGAUUCAUAAAAGUCUCUUCAUAAGACAAGAGAAGAAACGAUUGAGAAAAGCAUGUGCUCUCUUUUCAGAUUUUCACUGAUUGACCUCUCCCUCAGUCCAUCCAUCCCUCCAGCUCCCACUUUUGAUUUGAGGGCUUAUUUCCUUUAGUGCCUCUCUUCUUGCCCCUAACCCCAGAAGCCUUAGAUAUUCUUGCUAUUUUUCAUCUGUUCCAGACUUUCUGCUUUCAUGAGAUACUACGCAUAUGAAGAUCUCAUUUGGUAUCACAAAACUGUUUAAAAGAAAGACUUGAACAUCACAGGAAAAUAAAGUGGGAUACAGAAGAAAACAGAAAGUAUAGCAAUUUCUUUAGAAAUAUGUGACGGUGUCAACAAAAAAACAUGAUAAAUGUUUACCAUCCCAACAAGUCAUCUGUGGAUGUGAAUAAAGUGUGAGUGAUUGACUUCAUCCCACCUUGUUUCAAUAAAACAUAUCAUAGAAAGAUAUAGGAAGUAAUCAGAUUAACAUAAUGGAAAUGGUUUUUACAACAGGAAUCACAAGAAAUGAAAACAGACUUCCUUGAGAAAGCUGAACGGAAGUUACUGGUAUAGUUGAGAGACUGUUGUACAGACAAUACAUUAGUAAUGAUCUGGGAAUUAGAAGUGGGAAUGUAAUAAUUAGAUUUAUUGAUAGUGCAAAUUUGAGAGGCCUCUUCAACAUGCUGGAGAAUCAGAAUAUAGAAUCAUAGAAUCAUUAAGGCUGGAAAGACCACUAGAUCAUAAAAUAUUACCAUCACCCCACGCCUGUGGCUGCUCUAGACAAAUGUCACUCAGUAUGAUAUCUACCUUCUAAAGAACCUAAUGGUGUACAAGUCCAUGGAACCUGACAGGAUCUAUACAUGGAUUAUGAACAAAGCAGAUAUCCAGCAUAUUUGAAAGGUCAUGGCAGUCUGGUGAAGUUAUACUGACUUGAAAAGUGAAAAUAUAACCCCAGUUUAAAGAAGGAAAAAAAG